CCCAGGCCUCUCUGCCCACUGCCACAGCAGACCCUGCCUCCACAUCGCGGUUUCCAACGUGGGAAGGGAGGCCCCUUCCUCCGGAGGGCAAGGGGCUCUUUUGUUCACGAACUUCUUCCUCUUGGCUAGAAGGGCACCUGGCCCAGCAGGUUCUCACAAUCUUUUCCAGCAAGUGUGGCAUCAACAGAAAGAGCUACUUGUCCACGGGCGGGUGCUCUCCAAGGUCAGAGACCAGGGCGGGAGUCGUGUGCAGGGGUCUGGGAUGAGGAGCCACCAGGAAGAGGGGGAGGGUGUCCCGAAUGGGGUCCCCUGCCCACGUGAGGCCCGUCACAGAUGCAGCCUGGGUGUGGCUGGGGAGAGAGCUGGGCUGGGGGAGGCCACCGUCUCAGGGACCCCGGCCAGACAUCUGCACAGCUUGGUCUUCCAAAUGCUCCCCGCCUGCCCCCCCCCUCCGUCUGAGGGGACCGUGCUAGCAACCUCCCACGGUGGUCGCCGAGCUGCCAGUUCCCCCCGAGCUUCUCUCCCCUGCUCUUCACAGGUUUGAUGUUCUGUUAUUUGCAUUUAAUACACACGUUACCACAUCUCUUUGAAAACCUGCUCCAAUGGUCCCCUUUAAAAAUUAAAUUAUUAGUUUUUGUUGCUUUUAAUGCAAUUCACCCAAGAAUGUCUUGAGUAGACUUGUUUUUUUCUUCCCUUCUUUCUCUUUAUGUCAGUCAUCUGUCAUCUACCAAGGACUCUGCCGUCUCCCUCUCCCACCCUUACAGCUUUAUCCUUUUUAAAGGCAUGUCCCUUAUAAACACACAUGGCUUGAACUGCUUUAACUUGACUAGCUUGAGAGUGUCUGUAUUUUAAAAAGCGUAUUUAACUUGUUUAUAUGUAUUGGAAUACUCCUAUAACUGGAACGCUGUCUGUCGACGCAUUUUGCGCUUUGUGUGGAUUAAGCCUGUUUCGCGUGCUUGUUCCUCACCCUUUUACGCAGAUUGAUUCUGUUUUCCUGAGACGCAGCCUAACAGUCAUUAAGGACAUGGGCAGAGGCAGCCUUGAGUUCUAGCUCCAUCAUUUAUCAGCUGAGUGUUUUACGGCUUUGCUUCCUGGGGGCUCAGCUUCUCCAUCUGUAAAAUGGGUUACUUAUAACGCUUCACCAUGUUUGGGUGAAGAGUAAAUGGAUUAACAUCUGUCGUGUAUCUGCAGAGAACUAUACAAUUGUUGGCUCUCAUACUCAGCUUAUCUCCCUCUAUCACGGUGAUACAUUUUGUGUGUGUGUGUGUUUGUGCACACAGAGAGUAUUAUUACUCUUGCAUUUUUAGCGCAUCUUUUAUUUUAUUUUUAAAAAAUUUUAUGGCUGCACCCAUGACAUGCGGAAGUUCCCAGGCCAGGGACUGGAUCUCAGCCACAGGUUUGACAACCCUGGAGCCUUUAAGCCACCGCACCUGGCCGGGGAUCUAACCCACACCUCCACGGUGAACUGAGCUGCUGCAAUUGGAUUCUUAACCCACUGUGCCAUGGCGGGAAUGCCAGCGUACCUUUCAUAAUAAGUCUGACACUAUUCGGUACCUUUAUCUUCCCCCCGAAUUUGACGCGGAUCGGUGUACCCUAACUUCCCUUUCCCACGGCACCCUUGGAUGGUGGUGGAUUGUUCCCUCAGCUGAAGUGGUUUUGGUCACCACCGGCAUCCUUUUCUUUCUUUUUUUUAGUGGUCUCUUUUAGGGCCUCACCUGCGGCAUGUGGAGGUUCCCAGGCUAGGGCUUGAAUCGGAGCUGUGGCCACUGGCCCACGCCACAGCCCCAGCAAGGCCAGAUCUGAGCCACGUCUGUGACCUACACCACAGCUCAUGGCAAUGCCGGAUCCUUAACCCACUGAGCAAGGCCAGGGAUCGAACCUGCGUCCUCACGGAUGCUGGUCAGAUUUGUUCUGGCUGCGCCAUGACGGGAACUCGACCAGUGUCCUCUUCCGUUUAUCACGAUUCACUGUUUUUUUCUGAACACGGAUUUGUUGCACCAGUGUCUUCCGUCAGCACCGGGGGUGGGUCUGUGGAACUGCAGGCUCACGCGGGGGCUCCGCGGCCGCGUGGCACCAAGGUCCUGGUGCCUGCUGCUCGCCGUCGUGGGGGGACGUCAGGACCUCCGGGAGCCCCGCUUCGCGCUGUGAGAAGGGUGGGGUUUCUGCGCCUGCGAUGCGCUUGGCUGCGCGGACGGGCUGGGAGAGGGUUUCCCCACGUGUGCGGAUGGUUCUUUCCCAUCGGGUCUGAGAUCGCCUCCCUGCAUCGUCUCUGCCCCUCCCUGGACGCGGGAGGGACCGACGGGCGUGUCCAGCCAGAGCGGUCGGGGGGGCUGCCGCCUCUCCCUGCGAGGUCAUCAGGGAGCUGCUCCCAUGUCCCACCUCCGACGUCGGCCCUCAGAUCGUGCAGCCUCUGGAAACACAUGCCCCUUCUGACUGCAGCUCGGAAGACACCCCCUCUGCCGUGGAGACCAGACUUUGACUUUGGAUUACUCUCUGCUUGGCCUGCGGAUCCAGACUCCUGUGUGGACACAGCCCCCUGAGUCCCAGGACAGGCCCUGCCCUCCCCCUCCAGACCCACCAGUCUGCAACCCCCUGAAGGUCCAUGCCCACCCUAGAGACCCCUCUGGGCCUGGGGGUUCCGCUGCUCACAGCCCACCUGCCCAGAGCACUGAGCACACCUGCCUCCCCAUCAGGCUGCUGUCAGGUGGGGCCCGCGGCCUCAGCUCUGCCCCCCGCCUGCCCUGGGCCUGGCUGGAAACCAAAGAACAGGUCGUGGGGGUCAGAGGUCAGUCAGGCACCCUUGCCCUCCGCCCUCUGCGCCAAGGCUGGGGGUGGGGACGGGAGGGCUGGCGGGGCUGUGCUCGGAGGCCGCCCCUGGCCAUCUCUCUGUCCAUCUUUGCCCGAUGACCUUGCCGACCGUGCCCUCAGCUGAACACAACCGUGAUGUCUGGCCCACUGGUCAUGCUGCCAGCCCUUGGCACCUGUGGGCCUGGCUCCUGCUGCCCCCUCUUCUCGGGGAGCAGUAGGAGGAGUUCCCGCCAUGGUGCAGUCGGUUAAGGAUCUGGCGUUUAGGCAGCUGUGGGGUAGGUUGAGGCUGCAGCUUGGAUUCAGUCCCUGGCCCAGGACCUUCCACGUGCUGCAGGUGCAGCCGUGAAACACCAGAUGAGAUGCAGAGGCUUAGAACCCCCUUCCCUUCAAGACGGCGCCCGCGUGUAGACGUUGUCCCGACUCAUCGGAUGCGCGUGGACACGUGUG
rnacentral:lncRNA from 1 species